UACGUAGGGACCGAGCGUUGUCCGGAUUCAUUGGGCGUAAAGAGCGUGUAGGCGGCCAAGCAGGUCCGCUGUGAAAACUCGAGGCUCAACCUCGAGACGUCGGUGGAAACCGUUUGGCUAGAGUCCGGAAGAGGAGAGUGGAAUUCCCGGUGUAGCGGUGAAAUGCGCAGAUAUCGGGAAGAACACCGGUGGCGAAGGCGGGUCUCUGGGCAUUAACUGACGCUGAGGAGCGAAAGCAUGGGGAGCGAACAGG
rnacentral:rRNA from 1 species